GACGAACGCUGGCGGCGUGCCUAAUACAUGCAAGUCGAGCGAAGUCUUUCUGGUGCUUGCACUAGAAAAACUUAGCGGCGAACGGGUGAGUAACACGUAAAGAACCUGCCUCAUAGACUGGGACAACUAUUGGAAACGAUAGCUAAUACCGGAUAACAGUAUUUCUCGCAUGAGAGAUAUUUAAAAGUUGGUUAUGCUAACACUAUGAGAUGGCUUUGCGGUGCAUUAGCUAGUUGGUGGGGUAAAGGCCCACCAAGGCGACGAUGCAUAGCCGACCUGAGAGGGUGAUCGGCCACACUGGGACUGAGACACGGCCCAGACUCCUACGGGAGGCAGCAGUAGGGAAUCUUCCGCAAUGGGCGAAAGCCUGACGGAGCAACGCCGCGUGAGUGAAGAAGGAUUUCGGUUCGUAAAGCUCUGUUGUUAGGGAAGAAUGGAUAUGUAGUAACUAUACAUGUAAGAGACGGUACCUAACCAGAAAGCCACGGCUAACUACGUG
rnacentral:rRNA from 1 species